rnacentral:lncRNA from 1 species
CAACUAGACUGAAGUAAGCACCGUGAGGAUUUCAUCUUCAGAAGACAAGAUGAGCCUCGUGUCCUAGUUCUUAUCCACAGCAGAAAUUCGGCAAAUCCUGAAACAAAGGCCAUGAGCUAAUGGUCCUACAGAAGGCUUAGGACUUCAAGAGUGCCUAAACGACAUCAAGUAAAUACUGGUUCUCUGCAGAAUGCCAGACUGCAGUUUCCUGAGUCAUUUUCUCUUCUCCCACCAAACGGCUCAAUCCCUUUGUAUAAGUCAUCAGCCGAGUUCAUGAGCUAGCACAGGCCACAAGGAAAUUUCAUUCUCAGUCUUUACAGAACUCACUGAGGCAAAAAUACUCUGCUGUGCAACUGAAGGGAGAUGGCUGUUCAUCCAAAGUUCAUCCAAAUCAGAAGAAGGCCCCUUCUGAGAAGCCACCAAUGGUUUCCAUUUAAAUUCUUAGCCUCUGAGGGCAUGUCCCUACAGGAUAAACUGACUUCUUCAAUGAAUUCUUUGGAAACCUGUUUUGAAGCACAAAGACCACAGACCAAGCCCAAAUGUAGACCUCGGGGCUCUGUUAAGGAUUACAGUCCCCAGAGUGAAAGGUAUCUUGGCAGAUUCUCUUUCAAGCCCUAUUUGCACUCCCCUUUUAGAAACAAAGGAUUGAUCCUCAGAGAGGGCAAAUGACCUUUCUCAGUGGCAGCCAGGACAAAGGACCUGAGAUCCUUGCAGACAGGGCCUUCCCAUGGUACCACUCUAUCUCCCGAGAACAAAGUUGUCCGCAACAGCUAGAGAACACUUAUCACCAGAUUCACUAUCGUAUCCUCUCCUCUGUGGUGAGGACAACUUUCAUUUGGGUUUUGUGCGAUUCCACAGCCACACUCUCAUCUAUUUUCACAUACGCAAUGAUGGAUAUCUUCAUGUUGUCUUCUUACAUCUAACUAAACAAGUAGGAAUUUUCUUUGGGAGUGAGUCUGUGUAAGGUAGGGGAGGGAUACUGGGGUCGAGGGUGGGGGUCGGCUUGGGGCAAGGAGAGCAGGGCUGGCUCAGGGGAGUGGGUCAGUGAAAUGCUUUGUCUCAACAGAACAGAAUAGGUGCUAAACCCCCCAAAUCAAGGAAUUAAAAGGGGAAGUACCAGAGGAGAUCCAAUUUGGAAG